ensembl:snRNA U6 U6 spliceosomal RNA
GUGCUCAGUUCAGCAGCACAUAUUCUAAAAUUAGAAUGAUAUAGAGAAGAUUAGCAUGGACUCUAUGCAAGGAUGACAUGUAAAUUCAUGAAGCAUUCCAUAUUUAA